CCCUUAGAUGCUCUGGGCCGCACGCGCGCUACACUGGUCGAUGCAACGAGUUUCUUUCCUUGGCCGACAGGCCUGGGCAAUCUUUGAACAUCGAUCGUGAUCGGGAUAGAUUCUUGUAAUUUUUGAUCUUAAACGAGGAAUUCCUAGUAAACGCAAGUCAUCAGCUUGCAUUGAUUACGUCCCUGCCCUUUGUACACACCGCCCGUCGCACCUACCGAUUGAAUGGUCCGGUGAAAUCUCCGGACUGGCGUGAGUCGGAGCAAUCUGACAAACACCGGGAAGUUGAUUAAACCAUAUCAUUUAGAGGAAGGUGAAGUCGUANCA
rnacentral:rRNA from 1 species